rnacentral:rRNA from 1 species
AGCUCCAAGAGCGUAUAUUAAAGUUGUUGCAGUUAAAAAGCUCGUAGUUGGAUUUCUGGUACAAUGCGCCUGGCCCGCGACGGUUACGUCUGUGAGUGCCGGUGCGCGUUUGCCAUCCUUCUAGAAAACGUUUCUACCCUUCGCUGGGCCGGAUUCGCGAUCUAGAUCUUUUACUUUGAAAAAAUUAGAGUGUUUAAAGCAGGCUUUUGCUAUGAAUACAUUAGCAUGGAAUAAUAAUCUAGGACUUCGGUUCUAUUUUGUUGGUGUCUAGUACGGAAGUAAUGAUUGAUAGGGAUAGUUGGGGGUGCUAGUAUUGGCCGGCCAGAGGUGAAAUUCUUGGAUUCGGUCAAGACUAACUUAUGCGAAAGCACUCACCAAGGAUGUCU